rnacentral:lncRNA from 12 species
UAAAUUGUCCAAUAUUACAUGUUUUUCCAUCUUAUAUUCAUUUUCUUUUGGCCUGGAAAAAACCUAGCUAAGUAGGCUGCAUUAGCAUCCCUUGAAAGAGUAGGAAAUAGAGGCAGAGAGGUCACUGUGAAGUGAUUUGUCCAAAGUUGCAUAUCUAGCAAGUGUCAGAGUUUGGAUUUGUCUCCAAGUUUGGUGAUUCAAAGCUUGUGUUUGUUUGAUUUUAGCUCACUUCCCCACAUUGCCUCAGCUCAACCUCCUUUGUAGCCUUUGGGAAUCGAAGGAUUUAGGGAAGGAUCUAGAGUCAGAGCUUUAUUCCCUUAACCCCCAUACAUAACCAUUCUCUCAUCUUCCUCUCUCAGGCGGAGACUGCAGCUAAACUUGUGUGCAGCUGGCUGUUAAGUUUAGUGAAUCCUUCUUUUUUGACAGCAAUGUAACCUGCCAAAUUAUCCUCUACAGGAAGAGAUUGACAUCUUCAAAGUGCUGGAUCUGACUCUGUCAUUUGAGCCCAAUCCUUCCAUCUUCAUUGCAUUAGCACUUGAGAACAGCUUUCUUAGGGGCUUUGCACUGAAUGUAUCUAUAUGCUUGAACCCUUCAUCAAUAACCACUUAUUUGGAAAAUUAAAAUUUUUAUCUUUCCCUAGAAGAUUCUGGUUCUUAGCUUAUUACUGGUGAUGAAAGUUCAAAAAAACAACAAUGAAUAUUUGUUGAGGAUCUGCUAAGUUUUUAGCCACUGUGCUAACCAUUUUAAUAUUUAUUUUAUUUAAUUCUCAUAAUAACCUAAUUAGCUAACUAUUGUUGUUAUUUUACACAUUAGGUUAAGAAACAGGAGAAUUUGCCUGUGAUCGUACAGCUAACAAAGUGGCAAACUUGGUAUUUGAACCUGGAUUUUCUUUCCUUUUUUUCUUUUUUAAAGAUUUUAUUUAUUCAUGAGAGACACAGAGAGAGAGAGGCAGAGGGAAAAGCAGGCUCCGUGCAGGGAACCCGACGUGGGACUCGAUCCCAGGUCUCCAGGAUCAGGCCCUGGGCUGAAGGCGGCACUAAACUGUUGAGCCACCUGGGCUGCCCAGAACCUGGAUUUUCUGAUGGUGGAGAAUCAGAGGUCCAGACAGCCAGUGAUUUCAUUCCGAUUGUGGCAAGCUCCCUCUUCUUUGGUCAAAGCAGCUCUUUAUUAGACAGACUCUCCUGACAGAGUGGAAAUGUGAUUGUUAUCAUUUCCAAGCAGUUUUCAGUCUGAUACUAACUGGACUAGACUUGGCACAGCCUUCCUUCCUUUUUCCCAGGAAAUUUUCACCAAAGAGUUAAUUGCAUUAAAAUGUUCCAUGUUUAACUUCUGUCUUAGCUAAUGAACAAACUUUCAAGAACAGUCUCCAUGUUCUUUCUCAAACCAGAGCAAAGCUUCUUUUAUUUUGCUUCAACACUUUUUUUCCGAAACCUCUCUCUCCUUUUCAUGCUCUUCAUCGCAGUGUAAGUCCAUGAAAAAUUAACACUGCUGUUCAGCAGGGAAGCUAGCUCUUUUUAAAAGAAUGUUCUGGCAAACCUCAACACCAGGACAUGCAUCUCCCAGCAGAUCUGCCUUAGAAAGGUACAAUGUGUGAUAGAAGCUUCUCCCUAGAGAGUGUGAAUCUCAAGGGCUGUGGCAAUUAUACUAGAUUUCCUUUAUGUUUUCUCAACCACCCCUUAUGUAGUUCUUGAUAGCACAUUUUGGAUCUACAAACUUGCAAAAUUUAAGGUAAGUCACUGUAAUGAUGUAGGAACCAUUAUACUUUCUUGGACUCCAUGGCCAGUGAAGGAAAGCUGAGGUCUCAAAGUCCAAAUUCUACAAACAAAAUGACAUUUGCAAUUGCUAAAAAAAGAAAACAAAAAAACUCAGUUUUACGGAUAAGACUUUUGUCCAUACCAAAGAGUACAAAAUAUCAG